UUUUUGACUGAGAAUACUGAUUUCACUGUGAUUGGGGUGAUUGGGCCAUCUGGAGCUGGAAAAUCAACUAUUAUGAACGAAAUUUAUGGUUUUGAUUCAACUUCACCUGGGAUGCUACCACCUUUUUCCACACAGUCUGAAGAGACCAGAGCCAUGGCAAGGCAUUGUUCUACUGGCAUUGAACCUAGGGCAUCUUCUGAACGUAUUGUUCUUCUUGAUACUCAAGUAUGCACCCAUGAUAUCUUAGUUCGUAGCUUGAAUUGUUGUGUUCUGGUUUAUGCUUUUUGUUUUGCAUUUGUAGCCUGUGUUUAGUGCUUCGAUUUUAGCUAAGAUGAUGAGACCGGAUGGCUCUUCGACGAUUUCAGUGAUAACUGGAGAAUCACUGUCAGCUGAAUUGGCUCAUGAGAUUAUGAAUAUUCAGGAAUCUUUAUAGCUUGUUGUUCUACUUGCAUCUAUAUGCCAUGUUGUGCUGGUGGUGUCAGAUGGAGUGCAUGAUGAUAGUAUGUGGCAUUUGAUGUUGACG